CACAGAGGGCGACAUCAUAGGCUGACACUAUGGACGUCCAUUGGGGAGCCAAAUGCUUCUCAAAAAUCAGACAAAGAUUGGCUGCCGUAGAGUUAACUAGCUUGGUGCAGUGUGUUAAAGAAUAAAAAUUGUUCGACAAAAUUAGUGACUAAUUGACCAUCGAUCUACUAGCAGUGUUACAUAAGGAUGGAUGGUUUUGCAAAGGUGCUGAAUUCUCCCAAACUCCUCAUUAAUCGGAGCACUGGAAAUACCAAAAUGAAGGAUGGGGUUAAGAAACGAUUUUUUAAAGAUCGUGGCUGUCGAAAGCGAUCCAAAAGCUUUUCCGGUAGCGGGAUUAUUAAUUCCAAACCAGUACCGCCAACAAAGUUUCUACUUGGCGGAAACAUAAACGAUCCAUUAAACCUCGGCAGUCUUCAAAAUGCGGACAUUAAUCGGGCUUUAAAUACUUUUUCUCCAAAAUGUUCUCCAUUGCCCACGCCCCCAAGGAGAAAACUGCCGAUUGAAGUAAUCGUCUCCCCAAACACUCAUGAUCCCCUUCAUCUAAUGGACUGCGUUAAUGAGAAGGAUUAUGAGGAACAACUGUCUUCACCAGUUAAGAAAGGCAAAAAAAAGCGAUUCAAAAAGCGGCGCACAAUGUCGGCAUCGGCGGAAGGUUGCGUGCCUGAUCACAUCGACAAUAUCGAAGCCAAAACACCGGAAGCCUCCAUGGAUUCAGCCAAAAUACCUGAAGAUCCCGAAAAUAUUAAAAUUGGAGUUACUGUCGAUAACCUCCAAGAUAAGCCGAAGAAAAAGACAGUUACCAUCAAUUUGAGUAACGGUCCGAAGAAGUUUAAAAAUACCAUGGAUAAAAUCGUCAGUCCAGUUGUUCCACAACCUGGCGCCUGGCUGAAACGAUCGAUUUCAACCACGUUUUCCCGGCCUCCGCAAAACAAAGUCAAAGAUCAAGCCAUUCCACUAUUCAAGGAAAAAAACAAGCGAUUUCAGUAUGGCAACUAUAAUAGGUAUUACGGAUAUAGAAAUCCUAAUAAUGAAGUAGAUUAUAGGCUCAAAGUUUUUGGGCAUCAUUCGCACAUUUUCGAAAAUAAAGACAUUUUGGAUGUGGGUUGCAACAUCGGCCACAUUACUUUAAGUGUUGCCAGAGACUUGAACGCCCGCACUGUAACCGGUGUUGAUAUCGAUCCAAAGCUAAUUAGUAUAGCACGAAAAAAUAUUAGGUAUUACGUUAAAACCUCAUUAAACUCACCGGCUAGAAUGGAAAAUGUCUCAGUUUCUAAUAGAGCAACUUGUAAAAGUAAUAGUGAGUUUUUUCCCAUAUCAAUGCCUAUAUUAUAUGGACCUAUUGACAUUCCAGGAUUCCAUGAUAUUCAAGGCACGGACUUUCCGAAAAAUGUCACUUUUAAACAGUGUAACUACGUUCCAGAAGACGAAUCUUUGCUCUGUUUAGAGCAGCCCCAAUUCGAUGUGAUACUCUGUUUGAGCAUCACGAAAUGGAUUCACUUGAACUGGGGCGAUAAAGGUAUUAAAUUGACAUUCCGCAGAAUGUUUGAGCAAUUGAGGCCGGGGGGGAAGCUAAUUUUAGAGCCCCAGCACUGGGCAAGUUACAAAAGUAAACGGAACCUUACGGUAACCUGCAUGGUUCUAUUCUAGCCACUCCCUAUCCUAUGUUGAACUUGUAGUGCUUUUAACCAGAAGCUCCUAGUUUCAGCAGCUGCUUUUUCAUACACUGUAAGUUCUCAAAUGUGUGUGUUUUUUUUAGGAAACCAUCUAUCAGAACUACAAGUCGAUUGACUUCUUCCCCGAUAAGUUCAGCGAAUAUUUGCUUUCACCCGCGGUAGGAUUUGCUAAAAGUGAAAUAUUAGGGUAUCCAUACCAUAAGAGCGCUGGAUUUCGGCGACCCAUACAGGUGUUUACGAAAAGUACCACGUUUCUUCCUGAGAGGAGUGAAAGAUGCGAAGCAGCGCCAAGUACGGAACACGACAUGCAAUCGGACGAAGUCGAUUUGGAAAGCCAUAUAGAGAAACAUGUGUAUGCAAGCUUGACGCGGUCGAAUGGUCGUUUUUGCGAGGAUUCUCAAGAUCAUUCACCGAGUUUAUCUUGCCAGUCCGUUGACUACAGUAAAUGUAGCCCCGAUUCAACUACUGCGGACACCCCAACUGAUUAGAAUUAUAGGAAACUCGAUUUUGUACAGUGUAAAUAUGUUUUGAUAAAAACAUUUUUUUUGUAAUUUCCUUUUGUAGAAUCUACAUAUUAAAAGGACGUUCUGGUAUAGCAAA